GUAUGUAAUCGGUGGUAGCGCGAUCUCACACUGACGCACCGACGUUUCGGAGCAGAAUAAAGCCGUCUCGGGUAUCUCCUCGAGAACAUUUCGGAGCAGUGGUCGGCCGACGAGAAUCGGAGUGGAGGAGGAGGAGGAAGAAAGAAACGAGUGAGGGAAGAAAAAAUGUGAAAAAAAUUCUUCAAAAAAUUAAUUUAAAUUAAAUCGAAUUGGAACUGAACACAGGUACCACGUAAUAGCCACGUAUAACGUGCAGUCGUCGCACUGCUGCUCCCUAAGGGUUACCUAUACGGAGUAUAAGGUGCAUAUCUCAUAUAUUUUUACUAUAGAUAUAUAUAUACGAGGGUAUAUAACCCUGUAGACGUAUACGUUGCGCAUAUAAUACCUUUCGCACACAUUCGUACCGUGGGUACCAGACGACACGUACGUUCGUACACCCAUGUAUGUAUACCUACGUACGUAUGUACAUGGCGCAUGUAUCUCAUGCUAUUGCGCAACUCAACAAUUUCUGUCGGGCGCACUUUAUGUAAUGUUAUUACAUAUCAUGUGUGCGUAUAUUCCAGUGCAAUAAUUUCACGACCUAAAAUACCGUGAAGUCAAAUGUACGAUACGGUGCAGCGAAAGGGUUUUUCGACCCUUGUGUUAUCGAGAAUUGAAACAGGUCGAUAAAAAAAUUGAGAAAAAUGCAUCGCAAAUUUUUAAUCCAGAGUUAAAUCGUAUCGUCGGAUAUACGAGGAAUAAAUUUCCCCAUGUAUUGUACGCUGUUACUAUAUCUAUAUUAGCUGCGCAGCGGCAUAAGUGUGUUUUCAGUCCAUAUGCGUAUAUGUCACUCGAUAUAUACGUUGGUAUACAUACCAACGUAUAAAUCGCCUUGCAUAAGACGACUGCAUCGACGGAUCGAUAACUCGGUCUGGCUGUCGAGGUGGGCAACGCUACUUCUCCGGUUAUAAUAGCCGACGGCGGUGCAGCAUAGUAAAAUAGAUGCGGGGAAACUAUGCGGGGGUGGUGCGGGGCGGAACAUGCACCUAUACACAGGUAUACGUGCUCGCGUACGUACAUACAGCUAUGCACGGCAGCUAGGCCGUCUAUGGAUUUUUCUAAGGGGAAGAAUGAAAGAGGCAAGAAAAAAGAAAGAAAAGCGAAGAGAAAAAGGUAAUCCGUCUCACGUACGGAACAGAUGCGAUCCCGGACCGACCGAAGGGUCGCUCGAGCCGCAGAGCCGGCCAACUACAGGGUGUAUUAUAAUAGUGCAGUCUGCGCAGUAUUUCAAAUCACAACUAUUCACACGAAAUGCAAGUGAAUUACAUAAUACUUGACAGUGAAUGCACAGUUACCCGUAAAUUGGAGCAAAUUAAUGGCCGAAGGUCGUACCACCUGGCAACGUUCUUAUGCUAUAAAUCCAUACGAUAUUAUACGUGGAAAAUAAUUCAAGCGUGCACGAAACUGCAGCAAUUCCCGAACAGAAUAUCGUGUACCAAAUUAUCAUACUAUCGAUAUUACAGUAAGCCAAUUAUGCUCAGUCACGAUAAAUUAAUUGUCACUAUUCGUCUGAUCGUAACCUCGUAUGCGGUCUGUAUUACACGAACAAUUGCGUAUAUGAUCGCAAUUAUUUACAGACGAUCGAGCAGA